ACGUUCCGAGCCCAGAUUUUCUCCCGUCUACGCACGAAGACGGCUACGGACAUUCCAGCCCCGCUCCCUGCACAGCUUAGGCACUCAUCGAUGGCAGCUGGGCAAAGGUUUCUGCAACACUCUAGAGCUGAUCAUUGAUCUCUCACAGCCACACUGCCAACAAAAAGGAAAGUUCUCCGAUCACCAGCCCGUCACGUGCUCAGGAUAUCCUUUCAGCUUCCAUUCCGCCUGCCCCUGGCCAGCUCACUGCAGCAAUGGGCUGCUUUGGGAGUUGGAACAGCUUGGAGACAUUCAAGCAAGAGAGAGGGCUGCAUGAUGUCCCAUUCCAGGGUGGCGACAGAAGUGGCCCAGCCAGCUGCUGCCAGCUCUGGGUUCCUGGGAAAGCAGUGGCUGAUCCUGCCAGGAGCCCAGUGCAAAGAGAAUGAUGGAGAUGAUACAGGCAUGACCACAGGUCAGAGGGGCUGAAGCCCAGCACUUCACUUCUGGUCUGAAAGUCCCUCAGAAAAAAAAGAACAAACCAUUUUCAAAGGGCACAGAAAAGAAAAUGGUGCAGUUAUUGGCCCCAGCAGUCAGUCUCUUGUCAUAGGCUGCUGCCUUCAGCUGCUGGUCCAGCUCAGAGAGCUGAGACCACAUAAUUUUCUGUAACAUUGCUCAACUGUGAUUUGAAUAAAGCAUU